rnacentral:rRNA from 1 species
CCUACGGGAGGCAGCAGUGGGGAAUAUUGCACAAUGGGGGAAACCCUGAUGCAGCGACGCCGCGUGAGCGAUGAAGUAUUUCGGUAUGUAAAGCUCUAUCAGCAGGGAAGAAAAUGACGGUACCUGACUAAGAAGCCCCGGCUAACUACGUGCCAGCAACCGCCGUAAUACGUAGGGGGAAAGCGGUAUCCGGAUUUACUGGGUGUAAAGGGAGCGUAGACGGCGGUGUAAGCCAGGUGUGAAAGCCCCGGGCUCAACCCCGGGACUGCAUUUGGUACUGUGCUGCUAGAGUGUCAGAGAGGCAAGCGGAAUUCCUAGUGUAGCGGUGAAAUGCGUAGAUAUUAGGAAGAACACCAGAGGCGAAGGCGGCCUGCUGGACGAUGACUGACGUUGAGGCUCGAAAGCGUGGGGAGCAAACAGGAUUAGAUACCCCAGUAGUC